CAUAGCCUUGUGGAUUGUGAGGUUUAAAGGGCCGCUAAUACAUACAAGGUGAGCCCUGCCCAAUGAGCGAGUGAAAACUUUAAUGGCCGCAGUACCCUGACUGUGCUAAGGUAGCAUAAUCAGUUGGCUUUUAAAUGGAGUCUGGAAUGAAUGGGUUAACGGGGGGAUGCUGUCUCUUAGGUGUUACAUAAAAGUUAGUGAUAGGGUGAAAAUACCCUAGAUUUUAGGAAAGACGAGAAGACCCUUAGAGUUUUUCUCAUGGUCGCCUUUCUGUCUAGCUCGGGAACGCACUUACAAGCGUAUGUGCGGAGCAGCUAGUUAUGCGGGCGUCAAGAGUUUUGUUGGGGCGACAAGGAAACAAAGUGGCAGAGCACUGCUCGCAAAGCCAAACUUUCUAGGAAAUACUUCGAUGUGCCGAAAAUAAGGCGGCCCGCCUAUUUGGGACGGGGAUGCAAAAGCUUAUUAAGAACAAGUAAACUACCUUAGGGAUAACAGCAUAAUUUAGUAUUAAGUUUGUGACCUCGAUGUUGGACUAGGGACCCCAAGGCUAGACGCCACACGGGCCGGUUCUGUUCGAACCGCCAUCCCUACAUGAUCUGAUUUUAAAAACCGGAGACCCC
rnacentral:rRNA from 1 species